CGCGUCAGGAUAUGCCUAGGUGGGAUUAGCUAGUUGGUGAGGUAAGGGCUCACCAAGGCGACGAUCCCUAGCUGGUCUGAGAGGAUGAUCAGCCACACUGGAACUGAGACACGGUCCAGACUCCUACGGGAGGCAGCAGUGGGGAAUAUUGCACAAUGGGCGCAAGCCUGAUGCANCCAUGCCGCGUGUGUGAAGAAGGCCUUCGGGUUGUAAAGCACUUUCAGUCGUGAGGAAGGUAGUGUAGUUAAUAGCUGCAUUAUUUGACGUUAGCGACAGAAGAAGCACCGGCUAACUCCGUGCCAGCAGCCGCGGUAAUACGGAGGGUGCGAGCGUUAAUCGGAAUUACUGGGCGUAAAGCGCAUGCAGGUGGUUUGUUAAGUCAGAUGUGAAAGCCCGGGGCUCAACCUCGGAAUUGCAUUUGAAACUGGCAGACUAGAGUACUGUAGAGGGGGGUAGAAUUUCAGGUGUAGCGGUGAAAUGCGUAGAGAUCUGAAGGAAUACCGGUGGCGAAGGCGGCCCCCUGGACAGAUACUGACACUCAGAUGCGAAAGCGUGGGGAGCAAACAGGAUUAGAUACCCUGGUAGUCCACGCCGUAAACGAUGUCUACUUGGAGGUUGUGGCCUUGAGCCGUGGCUUUCGGAGCUAACGCGUUAAGUAGACCGCCUGGGGAGUACGGUCGCAAGAUUAAAACUCAAAUGAAUUGACGGGGGCCCGCACAAGCGGUGGAGCAUGUGGUUUAAUUCGAUGCAACGCGAAGAACCUUACCUACUCUUGACAUCCAGAGAACUUUCCAGAGAUGGAUUGGUGCCUUCGGGAACUCUGAGACAGGUGCUGCAUGGCUGUCGUCAG
rnacentral:rRNA from 1 species